rnacentral:rRNA from 1 species
UAUCUCUGUAGAGUCUGCAUAUCAAUAAGCGGAGGAAAAGAAACUAACAAGGAUUCCCUUAGUAACGGCGAGUGAAGCGGGAAGAGCUCAAAUUUGAAAUCUUCAAGGUUUUACCUUGACGAAUUGUAGUUUAAAGAAGUGUUUUCUGUUGGAGUUUUGGUAAAAGUUCUUUGGAAUAGGACAUCAUAGAGGGUGAGAAUCCCGUAUUUGACCAUUAUUUCCAGCUGUGUGAUACACUUUCAAAGAGUCGGAUUGUUUGGGAAUGCAGUCCAAAAUGGGUGGUAAAUUUCAUCUAAAGCUAAAUAUUGGCGAGAGACCGAUAGCGAACAAGUACCGUGAGGGAAAGAUGAAAAGAACUUUGAAAAGAGAGUUAAACAGUACGUGAAAUUGUCAAAAGGGAAGCGUUUGACACCAGUGUUGUUUUCUCGAAAAUCAAUUAAAAAUGAUGGGAUUUUGUGUUGUAUUGACUUUAUCAGCUUUCUGCACUUUUUUCUUAUCUUUUUUAAUGCACUUUUCGUUUAACAAGUCAACAUCAAUUUCUUUUGUUGUAAAAGAGUCAUUGGAAGGUGGCUUUUUCUUCGGAAAAAGUGUUUAUAGCCUUGUGCCUCUGCAAUCGGAGAGAUUGAGGUCUGCAGCGUAGAUCCUUCGGGGUUAGAUACAUUUGUGCUAAGUUAUAGCCUUUUCAUAGACAACAUUGUUGACUAUGAUCAGUCAUGUAGCUUACUCGCUUAUGUCUAUUUUACCUACGCUUAGGAUGUUGAUGUGAUACUGCGAGCA